ACGCUGGCGGCGUGCUUAACACAUGCAAGUCGAACGAAGAGCGAUGGAAGCUUGCUUCUAUUAAUCUUAGUGGCGAACGGGUGAGUAACGCGUAAUCAACCUGCCCUUCAGAGGGGGACAACAGUUGGAAACGACUGCUAAUACCGCAUACGAUCCAAUCUCGGCAUCGAGACUGGAUGAAAGGUGGCCUCUAUUUAUAAGCUAUCACUGAAGGAGGGGAUUGCGUCUGAUUAGCUAGUUGGAGGGGUAACGGCCCACCAAGGCGGUGAUCAGUAGCCGGUCUGAGAGGAUGAACGGCCACAUUGGGACUGAGACACGGCCCAGACUCCUACGGGAGGCAGCAGUGGGGAAUCUUCCGCAAUGGACGAAAGUCUGACGGAGCAACGCCGCGUGAGUGAUGACGGCCUUCGGGUUGUAAAGCUCUGUUAAUCGGGACGAAUGGUUCUUGUGCAAAUAGUGCGAGGAUUUGACGGUACCGGAAUAGAAAGCCACGGCUAACUACGUGCCAGCAGCCGCGGUAAUACGUAGGUGGCAAGCGUUGUCCGGAAUUAUUGGGCGUAAAGCGCGCGCAGGCGGAUUGGUCAGUCUGUCUUAAAAGUUCGGGGCUUAACCCCGUGAUGGGAUGGAAACUGCCAAUCUAGAGUAUAGGAGAGGAAAGUGGAAUUCCUAGUGUAGCGGUGAAAUGCGUAGAUAUUAGGAAGAACACCAGUGGCGAAGGCGACUUUCUGGACGAAAACUGACGCUGAGGCGCGAAAGCCAGGGGAGCGAACGGGAUUAGAUACCCCGGUAGUCUUGGCCGUAAACGAUGGGUACUAGGUGUAGGAGGUAUCGACCCCUUCUGUGCCGGAGUUAACGCAAUAAGUACCCCGCCUGGGGAGUACGACCGCAAGGUUGAAACUCAAAGGAAUUGACGGGGGCC
rnacentral:rRNA from 1 species